rnacentral:misc_RNA from 1 species
UUUAUUUUUUUUUUUUUUUGAUAAUAAAAUGCACACUCACAUUAGGGAAGCAAUACAGCCCGUUAGAAAACCAUGGCUACCAUUUUGUUUAGCACAAUGCAGCAAUCAAUUGGUCUUUCACGUGUAUGAACAAUUGACCAAUGUGGAAGUACAACAUAACAGGACGCCUUGUUUGCUUAUGCAGUCAGUCACACGAGACACUGCUCACCAAUAUCACUAAUCCACAUCUUUCAUCUGGGACAAUCCCUCUACUUAGUGUGGGAACCACUAUGAGAGUUAUGAAAGCUAUGAAAAAUAAAAGUUUAAAGAUAUGCU